rnacentral:rRNA from 1 species
GAUGAACGCUGGCGGUGUGCCUAAUACAUGCAAGUCGAGCGAACAGACGAGGAGCUUGCUCCUCUGACGUUAGCGGCGGACGGGUGAGUAACACGUGGAUAACCUACCUAUAAGACUGGGAUAACUUCGGGAAACCGGAGCUAAUACCGGAUAAUAUAUUGAACCGCAUGGUUCAAUAGUGAAAGACGGUUUUGCUGUCACUUAUAGAUGGAUCCGCGCCGCAUUAGCUAGUUGGUAAGGUAACGGCUUACCAAGGCAACGAUGCGUAACCGACCUGAGAGGGUGAUCGGCCACACUGGAACUGAGACACGGUCCAGACUCCUACGGGAGGCAGCAGUAGGGAAUCUUCCGCAAUGGGCGAAAGCCUGACGGAGCAACGCCGCGUGAGUGAUGAAGGUCUUCGGAUCGUAAAACUCUGUUAUUAGGGAAGAACAAAUGUGUAAGUAACUAUGCACGUCUUGACGGUACCUAAUCAGAAAGCCACGGCUAACUACGUG